rnacentral:rRNA from 1 species
UUAAUUGAAGAGUUUGAUCAUGGCUCAGAUUGAACGCUGGCGGCAGGCCUAACACAUGCAAGUCGAGCGGUAACAGAGAGGUGCUUGCACCUUUGCUGACGAGCGGCGGACGGGUGAGUAAUGCUUGGGAACAUGCCUUGAGGUGGGGGACAACAGUUGGAAACGACUGCUAAUACCGCAUAAUGUCUACGGACCAAAGGGGGCUUCGGCUCUCGCCUUUAGAUUGGCCCAAGUGGGAUUAGCUAGUUGGUGAGGUAAUGGCUCACCAAGGCGACGAUCCCUAGCUGGUUUGAGAGGAUGAUCAGCCACACUGGGACUGAGACACGGCCCAGACUCCU